AAAAGACCUGAUGGAGAACCAUGUGUUGCUGGAUGUGGAGUAACAUCAGUGGAACUCAGUCAAGUGUGGAGCCAUGAAACGUCUUUCUUAUUUCCUGUCUCCUGAGUGCAGGGCACUCUGGGUUAAGGUAUAAAACUAAGAUGGCUACUUGCGGGUCAUGUUUCUGGUGCAUCAUAUGGCUCAUUGUUCUGCUGUUCAUUGGCUGGCCCAUCAGCAUCGCUUUAGGGGGUCUCUACGGCCUCAUCAGCCCCCUCACCACCUGCCUUGGUCUGGACCGACUGUCUGAUUUACUCCUGGAGGGAGCUAAUGUGGGCAGAACCUGUGCCAAUAACAUGAGGCACAGCAAGCCUUUGUGUUGAAAUCCAUCCUGUCUGAUCAGGACCAGAAAAAACAGAGGUCGAAGCCUUCACCUCAGGAAGAACUGUUAAUGUCUGAUUUAUGUGGAGCUAUUCCAGCACGACUGGUGCAUAAUUCCCUGAGAAACCUUCCAGCAACUUAUGUCACAAUAAGGUCCAGAAAGUCCUGGAAAAUUGAUUCCUCUCUCACUGGUAACAUGUAAUUAACUACAGAUUUUAAAUUUGCAUGGGUUUGUCAGGAAGAAAAUAGGCUUGCAGUGCAUGGUCUGUGUUUGCUGUUUAAUUCACGAUGACGCUGCGUGGAGACGAUAAGAACGAAAAUGCCAAUUUAACAAUGAAAAUAUUUAGACUUGGUAAUGUCUGUAUGGAAAUAUAUGGAAAUGCGAUUAAAACUGCUUUGAACUUGC
ensembl:lncRNA